rnacentral:rRNA from 1 species
UACAGAGGGUGCGAGCGUUAAUCGGAAUUACUGGGCGUAAAGGGCGCGUAGGCGGUGUAUUAAGUUAGAUGUGAAAUCCCUGGGCUUAACCUAGGAACUGCAUCUAAGACUGAUACGCUAGAGUGCGGUAGAGGAUAGUGGAAUUUCCGGUGUAGCGGUGAAAUGCGUAGAUAUCAGGAAGAACACCCGUGGCUAAGGCGGCUCUCUAGUACGGUACUGACGCUGAGACGCGAAAGCGUGGGGAGCGAACAGG